CUCACUGAUUGUGGCACGUGACUGAGCUACUGGCCAUGUUUGACUAUAUUGGUGAUACCCUAGCUUUUUCACUGUAAGUGCAUAACCUUAUUCAUUGUUGAUGAUGUUUUAGCACAUUUUGGACAUCUUCAGUCUAUAGGUGACCUUUCUGUCCUUGGUUGACGAUCAAUUAACAGCGCCUGUUCAUUGCGCAUGGUAAAAAUUAUUACAUAUUUUGCGAACUAAAGUGAGGCUAACCAAAUUUGAUCACCGGAGGCAAUUUCUUCUUGUUUGAGAUUGUUGAUCAACGCUGACCGAUAUGAAUCAUGUAUGUUAUUUUCUGAUGAUAUAGAGCACAACUAGUCAUUUCUCAGCUAUUUUACCAUGCUGGUGCAGGUCUAGUCAUGAUAUUAUCAAGUUUGGUCAUUGCUUGACCAUGAGUCAUCAUAUAGCUAGCUAGCAUCCUUACCUGGCCCACAAAAAAACUUGCCCAGCUACACUUGUAUUUAGCUGAUCAGGUUGGUUUGUAUUUGCAAGCUUUCACCAAUAUUGCCACCAUACUUCAAGUCAUAGGUACUAUGGAGCAGCUCCUAAGUGCCUAAGAGAAUAUGUAAAACCAUUUCUUAAGUCUGCUAGAUUUUUGGCCUUCUAAGAUCAUUUAAAAAUCGGCGGUGUAAAACAAAUCAGAUGUCUUCGUUAUGAGAAGUUUCAAAAUGCAAGCAGAAUUUUGAGAGCAGUCUAUGCUUUACUGAAUUUUGAGUGUGAACUGUUAAUGUACACAAGGCAAAAGAAAUAAGGAUUGACCUCAGGGAACACAAAUAAAUGAAGAAGUAUGACGCAUGAAACUGUGAUGAUUUGAUACAUUAGUAGAGUGUGAGAUUUACUAGAUAAGCUUUUUUUACUGUAUGCAAUCUAUAGCAGUUUUUAAUAAACUUAAUGACCUUUAUUGGUUGAAAAGUCUUGAAUUUUAAUGCUCUAAGAUCAAAACUCACGGAACAAAAGGCAAUACCUAGAACACCUGAAACAUGUGCAGUGUGCUAAGUUGUUAACCAGUGGGUUAAUAAUAAAAGUAGUGGAUUGUACAAGCAAUACAUGAUAACCUGUAAUGCGAGGUAUUGAAGUGCAGAAACACUUGACAUAAAUGUCAUAUUAACUCAAUACUAAACAAUGUUGGUGACUUUGAACACUAGUCGAGCACCUAUGAAGAAUGGGCAUCCUAUAGGGUGUGUAUGCAACAUGAUACAUACACUUCAAUAUGGCCAUUCCUGAAAAAUAUGAUGCGAUAUGAUUAAAUCAUAACAAUGAAUGUAAAAUAAAUAAUAUAUCUAGAAUGCCAUAUGUAAAGCAAAAUGUGUUAUCACUAGUUUUGUGCUUCAUGCUCCAUAAAAUAGUUUUGGCAUCCACAAGCUUAAUCAAUUGGUCUUAUUCUAAUUCACGUUUUUUUUUUAAAACACUACCUUUUUAUUUUUUAACAUUUAAACAAUUGAAUACUUAAUAAUUAUUUGAAAUAUAUGCUAGCUCUUCUGAUGAUUAUCAAUUUUAAAUAUGUAUUAAUACAAAAGAUAGAUUGGCAAGUUUUUCAUUACUAGGCUAUGCAAAUAGGAUCACACCCUCUUUUAUUGUAUCAUGUAUAAGACAUGCAAAUAGAUACAAAUGUAGAGUCUAUGGAACAUACAUAAAAUUAAGUCUAUUAAUCACCACAAAAUAAUUAAGGCUUUAAACACCUCAAAAUGAUUGCUUUCAAAUGAAACAUGUGAAAUGCAAUUUUGAUAUUCUCUGUGAAAAUUUGGAGCUAUUUUCUUGCUUGUUGUAUUUGCUUAUAACAUCAUUUUCCUGGAAGAUGGUAGUAGUAGUGUUAUUGGGUUGUUCAUAUGUGCAUACUAGCAUUUGAGAAUCUCAUAAUUAUGACAUAUUGCUCUUAGAAAUACUGUAUAAAAAAAAUGAUGUAUAUAAUAAUCAUGCCAAGAUCUCUUCCUAUCUAGAAAAGAUUGAUGGAGUUCCGUAUCAAGAUUGUAAGAUUAGAUGGGUUGGGAGUUUUAAUUUUCCAAUAUAGGUGGGUGGUUUUGGACAUGCAUAUUAGGAAAUGAAAGGGAGGGACUAAUAUAAUUCGAGCCAAGGACUAGCUUGUGGAAUUUGGAAGGGGAGAAACAAAAGGCCUUUUUUCGGGAGGGGGGGGGAUUGGUGUACAGAAACAAAUGGCUUUUGAGGAUAGAAUAUUAUUGCGAAAUGGGGUCUAAAUGAGAAAAAUCAAUACCAUGUAGGAAGAGAUUGGUAACAACAGAAGCAUUAGAAGAAUCAGAAAAAAAGUCCUCCAGCAAGGAGACUUGGUGGGGAAUAGAAAAUUUCAGUUGAUGGUUAAGGUUAAAAGGGAGUUCUAUGGAAGGCUCCCUAAAUGUAGGAAUAGAGGAGUGUAUGAAAGUAGUUAUAAAGUGGCUAAGAAAGAAGUUGAGAAGGUGGUAUGGGAGGCUAGAUUCAAGGUGUAUGAAGAGUUAUAUCCUAAGUUAGAAACUAAGGAUGGAGAAAAAGGUGUCUAUCAGAUUGCAAGACUAGGAGAAACAAAAACUAGAGAUUUGGCUCAGGAUGAAUGCAUCAUAGAUGAAGAUCAAAAAAUAUUUGGUGAAGGAAGAUGAGAUCAAAGAAAGAUGGAGAAAUUUUGGUAAGCUGUUCAGUGGAAGUCAUGUAGAUGAAUUAGAAUACAUUGCUAUUUUCCAUUAAGGAUAGAAAUGUUAAUAUGCAUGUAGAAUUAGAAUAUUUAAGGUAAAAGAAGAUAAGAAAAAGAUGAAAAAAGGAAAAAUGGUUGGACCUAACAGAAUCCCUAUUAAGGCUUGGAAUUGUUCAGGUGACAUGAGAAUAACAUGGCCAACUGAUUUGUUUAAUAAUAUUUUAAAGAUCAAGAAGAUUCCUAAUGAAUUGAGGAAGGCCACUAUAAUACUGAUUUAAAAAAAAUAAAGAUGAUAUCCAAAAUUGUGCUAGAUGUUGUGGUAUUAAAUUCAUGACUCAUCCUAUCUUAAACUGUAGGAGAGGGUGAGUAAGCACAAAUUAAGUUGUGAUACAAGUAUUAGAGAACCACUUUGGUUUUAUGCCAGGAAUGUUUACUAUGGAAACUAGUUUUCUUCUUCCGAGAUAGAUGGAGAAAUAUAAAGGAAAAAGAUAUGAUCUACGUAUGGUUUUUAUUAAUAUAGAUAAGGCAUAUGUUAAAGUCCCUAGAGAAGUCUUAUGGUGGGUGUUAGAAAAGAAAUGAGUUUUUCUCAGGUAUGUUAAUGUGAUUAAGGACAUGUACGACUUAGUGAUUUUAGUACGAGAACUACUGACAGUAAUACUAGUAUGUUUCUAAUGACAAUAGAUUUACACCAUUGAUCCGCUUUAAGCCCUUACCUUUUAUGCUCGUUAAUAGUAAUGAGACUUGGUGGUGGAAUAGAAAAGUUCAGUUGAUGGUUAAGGUUAAAAGAGAGUUCUCUAGAAGGCUACCUAAAUGUAGGAAUAGAUGAGCAAUAUGAAAACUGUAAAAUGGCUAAGAAGGAAGUUAAGAAGGCGGUAUGAGAGUUAGAUUCAAGGCGUAUGAAGAGUUAUUGCAUAAGUUAGAAACUAAGGAUGGAGAAAUAGGUAUCUAUAAGAUUGCAAGACUAGGAGAAAUGAAAACUUGAGACUUGGCUCCAGGUAAAUGCAUAAAAGAUCAGGAUCAAAAAAAAAAAAUUGGUGAAGGAAGGUGGGAUCAAAUAAAGAUGGAGAAAUUUUGAUAAGCUGUUCAGUGGAAGUAAUGUAGAUGAUUUAAGAUAUCUUGCUAUUUUCAUUGAGGAUACAAGUGCUAAGAAUACAUGUGGAAUUAGAGUAUCUAAGGUAAAGAAGGCGAGGAAAAAGAUGAAAAUAGGAAAAAUGGUUGGACUUGAUGGAAUAUCUAUUGAGAUUUGGAAGUGUUUAAGUGAUAUGAGAGUAACUUGGUCGACUAAUCUGUUUAAUAGGAUUUUAAAGACCAAAAAGAUGAUGAAGGGAAGAAGAGCACUGUAUUAUUGAUUUGUUGGAAUAAAGAUUAUUUCACAAUUGGUCUAACUAUCAUGGUAUUAAACUUAUGACUCAUGCCAUCUUAAACUUUAGAAGAGGGUGAGCACAAAUUAAGGUGUGACACAAGUAUUAGAGAACAAAUUUACUUUUAUGCCAAGAAUGUUGACUAUGUAAUCUAUUUUGCUUCUUUAGAGAUUAAUGGAGAAAUAUAAAGAAAAAAAAGACAUGAUCUUUUUAUAUUUUUAAGCGUAUUAUUGAAUCUCUAAAGAAGUCUUAUGGUGGGUGUUAGAAAAGAAAUGGGUUUUCCUUGGAUAUAUUAAUGUGAUUAAGGACAUGUAUGGUGGAGUUGUUACUGGUGAAAGAACUACUAAUGGUAAUGCUAGUAAGUUUCUAAUCACAGUAUGUUUAUAUCAUGGAUCUGCUUAAAAUUCUUGCCUUUUGCGCUAGCAAUCGGUGAACCUAGUGAGCAUGUUCACGAUGAUAUUUCUUGGUGCAUGUUAUGUGCAUAUGAUAUAGUCUUAGUGGAUUGACGUAACCUCAGGGUUAUUUGUCAAAUCCAAGGGUUUAGGUUAAGUUUGACCAAGAUGGAAUGCAUGUGGUGCAAUUUUAGUAAAAUAAGAAGUGAUGAAGGUGAGCAAAGAUUGAGGAUACUGAGGUUCCCCAUAUGAUCAUUUUUUAUAUUUAGGAUCAGUUAUCCAUAAAGGAAAAUUGAAGAGGGUGUUAUUUAUAGGCUUAAUGCUGAUUGGAUAAAAUAGAGACAUGCAACUGGUAUAUGAUGUGAUCAGUGGAUACCAACCAAGUUGAAGGAAAAAAAUUAUAGAAUGGCCAUGCGAUCCUCUAUGCUUUGUGGUACAAAAUGUUGGAUAGUAAACAAUAAUGUGAAUGUUGAGAUGGGCAUGUGGUAAUACAAGAAAAAAUAGAAUAAGAAAUGAAGUCAUUCUUCAAAAGGUAGAGGUAGCACUAGUUGAGAACGAAUUAAGAAGAGGACAACAUGAGAGAGUGAUUUGAUAGUUGAUACAUGUAGAAAAAUAGAGGGGCAGAGAUAGAUCAAAAAUCGCAUGGGAUGAAGUAGUAAGGAAAGGUUUGAUAUACCAACCGAAAUUGGUGGAAAAGGAUUAAUGUUGCUGACUGUACUAGUUUGAGAGUAUGGCUUAGUUGAUUUGAGUUGGCUAUAUGGUAAUGAUGCUAGAAGCUGGCCUUUAUGACAUUUACAAGUUAGUUAUUAAUAGUCCUGGGAUUUGUAUAUUCAAUACUAUUUUUUAGUUAGAACAAAAUGGAGGUGGCCCAAAACCAUUUAAUCCUGUAAUUGUCUUUGUAACUUUCACUAAAACAUGCUUAGGUCAAAUCUAUGACCAUUGAAUGCAUUCGUGGUCUCUAAUGCUUUUUUAUUUGCUGAAAACUACUAUGAGCAAUUAUAACAUACCGCUAUUUGUCAGAUAAUAUUUUGAAGUGCUACCUUACAAACUUUGGAAAACUGGUUGUUAAUGGUUAUGAUCAUGGAAAGUCACUAUCACAAAGUCUAUGUAGUGUUUGUUAAUUAUUGGUUGUUUUAGUUAAUUUAUAACAGAACAUCAGGAACAUUGGAGUCUUUUGUUGACAGAGAAAAAUCCACCUGCUCUACAAUUACUAAGUCCAGAUUUUGGGGUGCACCACCCAAGAAUCAAACACAGUAACUCUUUGCAACGUGGAAGGGUGGGACCACUAGAGCAAGCCGAGUUCACUGGAAUUGUUACUGUGACCGGUAUACUAAAACUAAUUUCACAAUGGUAUGUUCAUUUGAUAGGCUGCAAGCGAUAUCAUGUAUAAUAAUACUCAUGGGUGGAUGCAUUGCAUGUGGUUUGAUGCAAGCAAAAGGAAUGCAUGCAUGAUGGAGGGUAAUCAGGGAGGCAGCAGCAAAAUCAAUGUUGAUAGCAAUGACAUGUGACAAUGUAUUACUUUAGCAUUUUCCAAAUAAAAUUGUGAAGAGAGUAAGUUCCGAAUAAAGGUAUCAACUAGAAUUGUUAGCCUUCUUGGGCUUUCAAUCUUGACUUGGAGUCAAACUCUUAUGAUUUACAAGUGUUCUUGUUCGUUGAGAUGGAGUUGGAAGUUUGGUGCUUGAUGAGGUCGCUCACCAAUAGCUAGAGUCAACUCAAUGGCUUUCAACCAUGAAUUGUCAAGAAUUAUGGGGUUUGCCUCCAAGCAACAUGCAAGGCAAAUUGUCUUAAGACUUACAGUUGUCUCUAAUUGAUUAGUUUCUAUUGAAAGUAAGACACAAAUAUUUGUAAGGUUCAGGUGGCUGUAAGCCUGUAACUAGCAGACUCAUCUCGUAUUAGGACUCCAAUAACAUUGAGAGCGAGAGAGAAUGCAUAAAGCUAUUUUCUGAAUUUGACAGGAGCUCUAUCCUAAAUGACCACCUUUUCUGAUGCAAAAAAAAGUCCGGGAAAUAUUUAAAUUUCAUGCUUGGGUUGGUUAUGGAUGAAAUAACAAUUUGUGAUUAUUGGAAUGACCACAACUCCAUUAUUUGGGCUUUGAUUGGUGGGGGAUUGUUGAUAUGCCAGGGAGCUGUUCUAAUGUAGCAUAAAGUUGUUUGAUGCUCAAAAUCCACAGGUCCUGACCUUGACGAGUCUUUUCUUUUAGUUGUUCUUUGGGUGGUGUUGCUUUAAGAGGCUGUUGUGUCUCAGACACAUUCACCAGUAUAAAAGCUGCAAAGUUUGUGGGAAGUGCCUCAUGGGUCAAAGUCUUGAGAUCUGGUUGCCACUUAAUGUGGUGUCAAAUGUAGUUGAUGCAUUCUAGUCUUGUCUGGUUCGGGUCCCAUUGAACACCUGGUCUGUUAUUUCUGCAUCUUCCAGCCUUGUUCUUGGUUUCUUCAUGUGACCAUCUGGCAAAGAGGUCUCAUUACUUGUGUUUUUGCUUGUGUGGAGGUGUGUGUUUUCCUCUCUCUCUCUCCUCCCCCUUUUUGUUUUUUUGGGUGGGGGUCUGGGGUGGUGUUCUUGUACUCUUUCAUUAGGGCAGACUUCUGGAGCUUGUGAUGGGCACACCUAGAGGAGUGGACAAGUGGGGGUGUGGGAUAGAGUCAUUGGCGCAGCAUCUGAGGAUUGCUAGGUGGGUUGGUUUAUUCUGUAGUAGGCAGAGGUACCUGGUGGAGCAUCUGGAUGGCUCAGCUUGGAGUGGAUCCAAGGGUAGGUCAGAGUCAUGGGAGAAGAAGCAAAGGGUAGAGUCAACGCAGCUAUGUGGACUGCGAGUUGGCGAAAGGCUUGUUAGGAGAAGAGAGGAAUGUGGCAGAACAGGAGCUAUAGGGGCAGAUUAAGGUCAUGGAAGCAAUUGGUUCCAUAGAAGAGGCAGGUGGGAUCAUAGGGGAGGUUGAUGUAUGUGGGUAGCUGUGGCAUGGCAUAGGGGAAGGGCGUAAAGAAGAUUUGAGGAUUAGCUUGCAGAUUGGCUCAUCAAGUAUUUAUGAUAGUAUCUGCAUGUGCCUCAACCAACUUCAGAAAGCAUCUGAAUUUAUCAAAUUUGAUAUUUCAGAAUAACUAUUCGAACAUUCUAUUUUGAUUGAGGCACGGCUAUGAUCAGUCAAUAUGUUGUGUUUGUAUGCUAUGAGUGGAAAAAAAUAAUUUCUAAUGUCUCAAUUUACAUAAUAUGAAGCAACGGCAGAUUGCUAUAGCUGAAUUUUGAUAUAAAUAUGUAUUUUAGCUGUUUUAUCAGUUUGAGAGCACUGUCCAUUGACUUUUCUUUCUUCAGUAGGAAUCUAGUAACAAUAUAAACAUUUUUUUUUCCCCUCCAAUUACUUAACUAUACUGCAGUUCUCUUUGGGGUAAACCACCUUUUUUUUUUUUUGUAAAAAUGUUGGUAUUUUGCCAUAUGUUGGAUUAGUUUAUGAUGAUUUAAUUAACAACGUUCAUUGGUUUGGUAUGCAUCUUCUCUAGAUGCGGUUUAGAAGUGUGAGAAGGGACAAGGUUGUCACAAAGAGCACUUUCCGGGCUCUCAGGAAGGACGACCCCCCAUGGGCCUAGCUUUCUCGCUUGAAAGGACUAAGAAACAUCAAUUUUGGUAUGGUCAAUGACUAUAAUGAUGUGCUCAGGUGGAUAUCAUAAUUUUUUAUUAUGAGAUUUGGGUGCUAUACCCAUCUAUCUGGUGGAUGCAAGUUUGUCAAGAUGCCAUUUAAAAUUUCCUGCUCCAAUGUAGUAUUACCAUUUGCCAUCGGGCUGAUGGUAGUCAAGCUUCUGUUAUAUGAGCUGUUCUUAGCUCAUCCUAGCAAUAUCUUCAAAUCUUUUUGUUUUUUUUUUCUUUUUUUUGUGUAUGGAUAUGACACAGACUAAUUUUGCUCCAAGUAGAUAUCUUUGUUUUCUGGCAGUUUAAGAAUCAUGUGCCAGGUACUGAGGCUAGAGAUUUCCACGUCUAUUCUGGUGAAGGAAUCCGUGCAUCUCACUGGUUGUACCGGUCAUGUAUUUUUCAUUUCCUUGCUGUAUUGACCCAGGGUAAGGUUUAGAAGGUACGGAGAGCAAUUUUCCGAUAUGCAACAUCCUGGUAUGGCUAUGAGCUCCUUUUUGAGAUGAUUUUCGGAGGUCACAGGAUAUUGUCUUUUGCUUUACCUUCGGGCUUCAUGCCAUCCUUGGUGGUAAAACCCUCGUUCAGUGCUUUAAAUUUCACUGAAGGGCUUUUUAAGGCCAGUGUUAUGUUAACCAAGCUCUUUGCGGUGCGAUGCAUCUUGCUUUCCGGGUGGAGCUUUCAUUGUCCAAAGCUUUGAAAAUGUCUCCUAUGGUGGUGUAUAGUUUCUUUAAUGGAAGGGUAUUAGAUUUACAAAUUUUUGGUAUCAAUAAGUAGGAUAAUGCACCAUAGUUCUUUGAAUUUUUUUGCAUUUAAGCAAAUAUUAUUACAUGUCAUUGAAAAAGUUAAUUUAAUUUUGUAAUAAUCAAGCAACUGAGUUUCACUGAAAGUUACAAGUUUAUCGUAGUUGCCUUCUGGAA